CAGUCUCCCGAAAGUCUAUGAUAUUGAAGGAGGUCACACGUGAGGCCAGAGGGAUGCCCAGGACUCACUAGGCUGGCACAAGGAGUGGGCAGAGGGGCUGGCAUUGCCCUCUCCUCUAUCAUCCACCCUCAAACCAGCAGGCAGGCUGGUGUGUGUGGGGAGGAGCUGUGUGGAGCAGGAGAGUAGAAGAGAGCAUGGCAGCCCAGAUGAGGGCCCAGGACCCCUUUGUCUCUGCAAAGUCCCAGUGCCCACUGCACCCUGAGCCCCACCCCGUGGGACAACGGGAAGGGCAAUUGGAGACCUCCGAGAUCACCAGCCCUGGGGAGAGCGCAGGACGGGCAGAGGGAGGAGAGGAAGGACAAAUGAGGAAAGUGUGGCCCUGAGAGGAGACAACACACGCCAACUUAGCCUCAGAGCCCAGGCUCAAAAGAAGUCUUCCUGCCACUUCCGCCCCACCUGCCCCGACGCCCUCCAUGCCUCUGAUGCUGCGCCCACCAUCACUGCCUCUGAACUUCCAGCAGGAUUCCAUCUCUCUCAAGAAACUCAGCACCUACAACACAAUCUCCACCCCCUCUCCACCCUGUCUUUCCUCCAGCCACAGAUGAGAAAGGGUUUGAGGACAUCAUCACAUCCAUCCCUUAUUGUGCAGAUGGGGAAGCCGAGCAGAUCACUUAGCCCAGUGGCAUCAAGUGCCUCUUGACUCCCAAUCUCGUGUUCCCCCUCAUUUCUCCUUUCCUCAUCCUCCUACUCAGGACUCCAAACCCUGCUAACCCAGAGGCCCUGGCUCCUGAGGGACCCAGGGGCUUGGGGUGAG
rnacentral:lncRNA from 1 species